AGUUACAAGGAUGGUCUACCCUAAAGACACCAGGUCCAAUCUGAUUUUGAAACUAAGCUGGGUCAGCUCUGGUUAGUAGUCAAAUGGGAGACCACCAAUGAACUCCAGCUGCUGUAGGGG
rnacentral:rRNA from 11 species